rnacentral:rRNA from 1 species
GUGUGGUAGGGGCAGAGGGAAUUCCCGGUGUAGCGGUGAAAUGCGUAGAUAUCGGGAAGAACACCAGUGGCGAAGGCGCUCUGCUGGGCCAUAACUGACGCUCAUGGACGAAAGCCAGGGAGCGAAAGGGAUUAGAUACCCCUGUAGUCCUGGCCGUAAACGAUGAACCCUAGGUGUCGGGGGAAUCGACCCCCUCGGUGUCGUAGCCAACGCGUUAAGUGUUCCGCCUGGGGAGUACGCACGCAAGUGUGAAACUCAAAGGAAUUGACGGGGGCCCGCACAAGCGGUGGAGUAUGUGGUUUAAUUCGAUGCAACGCGAAGAACCUUACCAGGGUUUGACAUCCUCCGAAUCCCUUGGAAACGAGGGAGUGCCUUCGGGAGCGCAGAGACAGGUGGUGCAUGGCUGUCGUCAGCUCGUGUCGUGAGAUGUUGGGUUAAGUCCCGCAACUAGCGCAACCCACGUCGUUAGUUGCCAGCAUUCAGUUGGGCACUCUAGCGAGACCGUCGGUGAUAAACCGGAGGAAGGUGUGGAUGACGUCAAGUCAUCAUGCCCCUUACAUCCUGGGCUACACACGUACUACAAUGCUACGGACAAAGGGCAGCAAACUCGCGAGAGCUAGCUAAUCCCAUAAACCGUGGCUCAGUUCAGAUCGUAGGCUGCAACUCGCCUACGUGAAGGAGGAAUCGCUAGUAAUCGCAGGUCAGCAUACUGUGGUGAAUACGUUCCCGGGCCUUGUACACACCGCCCGUCACACCAUGGAAGUUGGCCACGCCCGAAGCCGUUACUCCAACCCUUGUGGAGGAGGACGUCGAAGGUGGGGCUGAUGACUGGGGUGAAGUCGUAACAAGGUAGCCGUACCGGAAGGUGCGGCUGGAUCACCUCCUAA